GGCGAGUGAAGCGGCAACAGCUCAAAUUUGAAAUCUGGCCCCUAGGGUCCGAGUUGUAAUUUGUAGAGGAUGCUUUUGGUGAGGUGCCGCCCGAGUUCCCUGGAACGGGACGCCACAGAGGGUGAGAGCCCCGUCUGGCUGGCCGCCGAGCCUCUGUAAAGCUCCUUCGACGAGUCGAGUAGUUUGGGAAUGCUGCUCAAAAUGGGAGGUAUAUGUCUUCUAAAGCUAAAUAUUGGCCAGAGACCGAUAGCGCACAAGUAGAGUGAUCGAAAGAUGAAAAGCACCUUGAAAAGAGGGUUAAAUAGUACGUGAAAUUGUUGAAAGGGAAGCGCUUGUGACCAGACUUGGGCGCGGCGGAUCAUCCGGGGUUCUCUCCGGUGCACUUCGCCGCGUCUAGGCCAGCAUCAGUUCGUCGCGGGGGAAAAAGGCUUCGGGAACGUGGCUCCUCCGGGAGUGUUAUAGCCCGUUGCAUAAUACCCUGCGGUGGACUGAGGACCGCGCAUCUGCAAGGAUGCUGGCGUAAUGGUCACCAGCGACCCGUCUUGAAACACGGACCAAGGAGUCGUCUUCGUAUGCGAGUGUUCGGGUGUCAAACCCCUACGCGUAAUGAAAGUGAACGCAGGUGAGAGCUUCGGCGCAUCAUCGACCGAUCCUGAUGUUCUCGGAUGGAUUUGAGUAAGAGCAUACGGGGCCGGACCCGAAAGAAGGUGAACUAUGCCUGUAUAGGGUGAAGCCAGAGGAAACUCUGGUGGAGGCUCGCAGCGGUUCUGACGUGCAAAUCGAUCGUCAAAUAUGGGCAUGGGGGCGAAAGACUAAUCGAACCUUCUAGUA
rnacentral:rRNA from 1 species